AUUGAACGCUGGCGGAAUGCUUUACACAUGCAAGUCGAACGGUAGAGGGGGCAACCCCUCGAGAGUGGCGAACGGGUGAGUAAUAUAUCGGAACGUGCCCAGGCGUGGGGGAUAACGUAGCGAAAGUUACGCUAAUACCGCAUACGAUCUAAGGAUGAAAGCGGGGGAUCGCAAGACCUCGCGCGAUUGGAGCGGCCGAUAUCAGAUUAGGUAGUUGGUGGGGUAAAGGCUCACCAAGCCAACGAUCUGUAGCUGGUCUGAGAGGACGACCAGCCACACUGGAACUGAGACACGGUCCAGACUCCUACGGGAGGCAGCAGUGGGGAAUUUUGGACAAUGGACGCAAGUCUGAUCCAGCCAUUCCGCGUGCAGGAUGAAGGCCCUCGGGUUGUAAACUGCUUUUGUACGGAACGAAAAGGUCUCUCUUAAUACGGGGGACUCAUGGCGGUACCGUAAGAAUAAGCACCGGCUAACUACGUGCCAGCCGCCGCGGUAAAAC
rnacentral:rRNA from 1 species